GCCUUGAUAGCUCAGUUGGCUAGAGCACUCGGUUCAUACCCGAGCGGUCGAUGGUUCGAAUCCAUUUCAAGGCACCA
rnacentral:tRNA from 5 species